rnacentral:rRNA from 1 species
GACGAACGCUGGCGGCGUGCUUAACACAUGCAAGUCGAACGAUGAACUUGGAGCUUGCUCUGGGGGAUUAGUGGCGAACGGGAGAGUAACACGUGAGUAACCUGCCCUGGACUCUGGGAUAACUUCGAGAAAUCAGAGCUAAUACCGGAUAGGACCUUGCACCGCAUGGUGUGGGGUGGAAAAUUUUCCGGUUUGGGAGUGGACUCGCGGCCUAUCAGCUUGUUGGUGAGGUAAUGGCUCACCAAGGCGUCGACGGGUAGCCGGCCUGAGAGGGUGACCGGCCACACUGGGACUGGGACACGGCCCAGACUCCUACGGGAGGCAGCAGUGGGGAAUAUUGCACAAUGGGCGCAAGCCUGAUGCAGCAACGCCGCGUGCGGGAUGACGGCCUUCGGGUUGUAAACCGCUUUUAGUAGGGAAGAAGCCUUCGGGUGACGGUACCUGCAGAAAAAGGACCGGCUAACUACGUGCCAGCAGCCGCAGUAACAC